UAUAAGAUGCCUGAUAAAAAGGUUAAUUUUGAUAGAAUUAAUAAUGUGUAUUUACACUCUUAU
rnacentral:tRNA from 1 species